CACAGCAUGGACAUGAGGGCCCCCGCUCAGCUCCUGGGGCUCCUGCUGCUCUGGCUCCCAGGUUCCCGAUGUGACAUCCAGAUGACCCAGUCUCCAUCCUCGCAUUCUGCAUCCGUAGGAGACACAGUCAGCAUCAAGUGCAAGGCCAGUCAGGGCAUAGGUAGUUAUUUAGCCUGGUAUCAACAGAAACCAGGGAAAGCUCCUAAACUCCUGAUCUAUGCUGCAAGCAAUUUGGGAUCAGGGGUCCCACCGAGGUUCAGUGGCAGUGGAUCUUGGACAGAUUUCACUCUCACCAUCAGCAGUGUGGAGGCUGAAGAUGUUGGAACUUAUUACUGUAUGCAGGUUAGUAGUUACCCUCCCCGAGUGACACAAGCUAUGACAAAAACCACCCUUAAACUCGGACAGCCCCGAGGGCCGGGCGAGGGGCGUGGGAGGCGGGCGAGGCGCGCUGGGACCGCUGUGCAGAGUGCGAGCAUCCCGGGCUGCGUGGACCAGGUGUUGAGGCCCGUGUGA